UGAGAAUGGUAAGUGGUAAAUAGUUAGAAUUUCAAGAAAAUGCCAAACACGUUAAUAAAUAAUUAUUUGUUUGUAAAUUUUGUGUAUAUAUUAUUUAAUUUAUGAAUAAAUAAGUGAAAUCCUGUAAACGGGAAAAAGAAAAAAAGAAUCUAUUAGUUUGAAAUCUUUGACGAUUUGAACAAUUUUAUAAUAGCAUGGUGAAAUGUGCUCCCCACACAACAUAUUACUGUUAGAAAUACCACAAACGUAGAUCGCAUUCAAAGCCGUUCCAUCACAUAAAAAGGAUGCGAGCCGAAUCACUUUCAAUUAGGUCUACACAGGAGUGGCGUUUCUUGCAGUAAUAGGCAGUAGAAAAUAUUGUGCGGGACGAUCUGAGUGUGGGUAUGUAUGUAUGAAUAUAUUGAUUGUAUAGAAUAGCGGGAUAGGAACUUGAUUGCAUGAAGUGUUGUGGGAAAAGUGAGUUUGGCCAAGUGCGUUGGAGAAAUAAUUAAAUGACUUGUGUGAAAAUUAUUGCUUACGUGGUGAAAUUAAAUUAAGAAGAGUGAGUAUACAUGUAAGUCGGCAAAUGUAUUAAGUAAUGAGGAUAAUACUAAAUGGAAAUUGUGGGGAUGAUUGUUCGGUGGCUAAGUGAAUAGAUAAGCCGUACUUUUCUAUAUUUUUCUUUUAAAUAAAAACAAGCGCAUUGUUUUGGUUUUCAAUUUAAAUUGUGAACUUUUUUAUUGAUUUAACUUGUCGAUACUUUCUAGUAUUAUACAAUAAAUACGUUUCAUAUGCGAAAGCUAGGUGUUGUCAUUUUUUUCCAUUAUAUAUAUGAUAUAUUUGUUUUUUUUGCAUUUUUCUGUGUCGCCUAUAUUUUUCAAAUUCGCACUUUUACUUACUAAAAUAGUGACAACAAAAUGAAAGUUUUAAUGCAUAUAUGUAUGUGUUGGUACAGUUACAACAUAUUCACAGAUUUUUUGCUAUUUCAUCACUUAUUGCAUAGUUAUUGAUUACAUGUUUGUUUUUAUUUAAAACAUUUUGUUUGCAUUUACAAAAUGGUACAUUUAUACAUUUCUCAAUAUAGGUACUCAUAAACAUAGGUAUCUAUAUAAAAUACUAUAUUCGUUAAUUUGUAUUAAUUAUCUAAUUGAUAAAUGAACUAUUAAUGUAAAUUAACUAAAUAAAACUAAUGAAAUCAUAAUAUCUGAAUUGAUAGUAUUCUAAUUAAUUAAUAAGUUAUCAAAAAAUUAUUUAUAGUCAACGAUUUAAGUGAAAAUUAAUAAAUAAAAAAAGUGAUUUGUGUAUAAAAUUAAAAUAACUGAGAACUUAAAAGUCAGUAAACUGAGAGUAUUAAAUAAAAGUCAAUAAAAAUUAAUUAAAUAUACUUUAUAGAACUUUUUUUAUACAAAAUAAGUAAUGGAUAUUAUGUUAGUUAGAAAUUUAAUCACAUCUAUCAACUAGAUGUAUGAAGAAGAUCUGAAAAUUUUUAAUUUAAUAAACCGAGUCCAUUAAUUGAAUAACUAUUUUCCAAAAAAAAUUAAAUAACGGUUUCCAUUAGACAACAGUUAACUAAUGAUCACCGUAGUAAAAUUAACUGAUUACGAAAUGAUCCGGAAAAAAAAUUAUUUAAAAAUUGGGAUUGCUUUUGCUGGAGACUGUUAAAUAUUAUACCAACUGUCUAUUUAGAAAUCAGUUCUUAGCUUUUCUCCCAUGUUUUUUGAUUUACUAUAAAAACGACCCCGAUUCUAUGGUUUAAAAGUGUUAAUUCAUUUAAUUUUAGUAAUUUGAGAAAAAACAAACAUCACAUAAGUCCUUAGUAAUUUUUGCAAUGCCGUUGUACAUUAAUUAUUUCGAAAAUAUGUAAUUUUUUACGAUUAAACGACAUUAAGGGUGUAAUAAAAAUACAAUAUCGUUGAGUUUGAAAAUUAUAUUAUUUUUUAGCAUUUUUUCGGUAAAACUAGUGGUUUUUUGCAUUAUAUCGAUUUUGUAUUUUUAUUCCUAAUUUGUUCGGUAAAAUUUUAUUUUUAGAUUUAACUUGCGUUUAAAGCGAGUAAGUUCUACAAAUAUGUAUCUCGAAUGGUAAUUUUUGUUUAAAAAAUAAACACUAUCAGCUUCGUUAAAUUGAAAAUUGCCUCAAGGAUCGCUAUAAAGGGAUAUACAUAUCUUCCAACGAAAUAGUUUUCCUAUGCAGUUGCAUAUAAAAAAUGUAUGUAUGUAUGUAUAUGUGCAUAUGCAUAGGCAUGUGUGCAUAUGUACACACAUAAGUAAAAUGACUCACUAGAUUCAAGAAGCUAAGGUACAAGUUGAAUUUAAGAGAAAAAAAACGGCUAAGGGCAGAUCAAUUGUGAAGAACAUUUCAAAGGGCGAAUUUAAAAAAAGAAACGAAUAAUUGUGAAAAUUACAAAGAAAACAGGGAGUGAGUGACAGUUAAACAAAUUACUAUCCAGCGAAUCAUUGAGAACUAUAGCGAAUACUAAGAAGCGAAUCAAAAUACACUAAGCUAUUAAACUUAAGGUAAAAUGCACACAAUAGGACGAACACUAACGCAUAGAUAUCCAAAUAACUGCACAUUGUAGAGUUGAGGACCACAACCUCCUCUAUCUUUAGGGUUGGCCUCCCAAUAUGUGCCAAGAUGUAUGUAUGUACACGUGUUUACAUCUAUUUUUAAAUGAGGGAAAAUGUCCCCGACCAAAGACAAAAUAAUAUAAGUAUUCAAGUUGAAGAGAAAUUCUCCUGUCCACAAAAAUUAGCUAAAAUGCCCCAAAGAAAUUUAUUUAAAAGUUGCUAGAAAAUUGGGUGUGAUGGUUAUGACUGAAAGAUUGCCGUAGAACAAAAGAGGAUGGCGUUCCAAUGGCUAUUCAAUGGCCAUGGCCAUAGUAUCUAUCAUACAAACGCAAAAUCGCAUUCGUUUCAUAUCAAAAAAUAAUAACAAACUAUGGAAAGAAAGCAAUAUCGUCGGCAACGAGGAGUGUUGUAUGCAUGUAUAAUCGAAAUUAGUGGAAAACUCGUCGUAUUAGAGGCAAAAUGGCGGUUUGGAAAAUUAUGUACAUUCAAAUUCUUUGCCUUACUACAAAGUCAUUUGCCAGAAUAAAUUGGUGAAAUUGUUUGUAAUUUGUUUUUAUUAGAUGUUUUUUUUUGUGUUUUGUUUUUAAGUAAAUGUGCACACAUGUACAUACAUAUACAUAUACAUAUGUACACAUCACCGUAAAAGUCAAAGUUUUUCAGUAUAUACUUAUGUACAUUCAGUAUUUUUUUUUCACCAAGAAAAUUCAAUGGAAUGUAUGUAGUUCAGUACAGAUGUAUAUGUAGUUAUGUAUUUUUGCACACACAUAUAUUUCUCCGACUAUCGCACAAGGAUAGAAGUUUAUGAAAAUUAAUUCAUGAUUACUGCGGUUGAAUGAACUUAAAUUAACCAAUAAACACAGUUUUCGAUGCGAA
rnacentral:lncRNA from 1 species